AGGAUGAACGCUGGCGGUGUGCCUAAUACAUGCAAGUCGAACGAGACCUUCGGGUCGAGUGGCGGACGGGUGAGUAACACGUUGGUACCUACCCCGAAGUGGGGAAUAACUGCCCGAAAGGGUGGCUAAUACCGCAUAAUACCGCAAGGUUAAAGCGAGUAAUCGCGCUUCGGGAGGGGCCUGCGUCCCAUUAGCUAGUUGGUAGGGUAAUGGCCUACCAAGGCGACGAUGGGUAGCUGGAUCGAGAGGUUGACCAGCCACACUGGGACUGAGAUACGGCCCAGACUCCUACGGGAGGCAGCAGUAAGGAAUCUUCCACAAUGGACGAAAGUCUGAUGGAGCAACACCGCGUGCAGGAUGACGGUCUUCGGAUUGUAAACUGCUUUUAUAUGGGAAGAUUAUGACGGUACCAUAUGAAUAAGGACCGGCUAACUACGUGCCAGCAGCCGC
rnacentral:rRNA from 1 species